rnacentral:tRNA from 1 species
GGAGGGGUGGCUGAGCGGUCGAAAGCGCUGGUCUUGAAAACCAGAGAGGUGAGAGUCUCCCAGGGUUCGAAUCCCUGCCCCUCCGCCA